GGGAAGGAUGAGAAGCUUCGACUAAGGUUCGAUUCGAGCGCAGCGAGAAAGCGUUGCCGCAGGCAACGACCCGAAGGGUGAGGAGCGGAGCGACGAAUAAUCCUUCCCCCACCACCA
rnacentral:sRNA from 1 species